rnacentral:rRNA from 1 species
UUGAAAAAUGAGGGGAUGACUUGUGGCUAGGAGUGAAAGGCUAAUCAAACUCGGAGAUAGCUGGUUCUCCUCGAAAGCUAUUUAGGUAGCGCCUCGUGUAUCACCCUGGGGGGUAGAGCACUGUUUGGGCUAGGGGGUCAUCCCGACUUACCAACCCCAUGCAAACUCCGAAUACCCAGGAGUGCGAUCACGGGAGACACACGGCGGGUGCUAACGUCCGUCGUGGAGAGGGCAACAACCCAGACCGCCAGCUAAGGUCCCAAAGUUACAGUUAAGUGGGAAACGAUGUGGGAAGGCUUAGACAGCUAGGAGGUUGGCUUAGAAGCAGCCAUCCUUUAAAGAAAGCGUAAUAGCUCACUAGUCGAGUCGGCCUGCGCGGAAGAUUUAACGGGGCUCAAACUGUACACCGAAGCUGCGGAUAUCUUUUAGAUAUGGUAGAGGAGCGUUCUGUAAGCUGAUGAAGCUCAAUUGAGAAGUUGGGUGGAGGUAUCAGAAGUGCGAAUGCUGACAUGAGUAACGACAAAGGGGGUGAAAAACCCCCUCGCCGGAAGACCAAGGGUUCCUGCGCAACGUUAAUCGGCGCAGGGUGAGUCGGCCCCUAAGGCGAGGCUGAGAAGCGUAGUCGAUGGGAAACAGGUUAAUAUUCCUGUACUUGUAUAUAUUGCGAUGGGGAGACGGAGAAAGCUAAACCAGCAUGGCGACGGUUGUCCAUGUUUAAGGUUGUAGGCUGAGGACUUAGGCAAAUCCGGGUCCUUAAGGCUGAGAACUGAUGACGAGAUCUCUUUUAGAGAUUGAAGUGGU